rnacentral:rRNA from 1 species
GACGAACGCUGGCGGCGUGCUUAACACAUGCAAGUCGAACGGAAAGGCCCUUCGGGGUACUCGAGUGGCGAACGGGUCAGUAACACGUGGGUGAUCUGCCCUGCACUUUGGGAUAAGCCUGGGAAACUGGGUCUAAUACCGAAUAGGACCACGCGCUUCAUGGUGUGUGGUGGAAAGCUUUUGCGGUGUGGGAUGGGCCCGCGGCCUAUCAGCUUGUUGGUGGGGUAAUGGCCUACCAAGGCGACGACGGGUAGCCGGCCUGAGAGGGUGACCGGACACACUGGGACUGAGAUACGGCCCAGACUCCUACGGGAGGCAGCAGUGGGGAAUAUUGCACAAUGGGCGCAAGCCUGAUGCAGCGACGCCGCGUGAGGGAUGACGGCCUUCGGGUUGUAAACCUCUUUCAAUAGGGACGAAGCGCAAGUGACGGUACCUAUAGAAGAAGCACCGGCCAACUACGUG